UAUACUAUUAAUCUUGAAAAUGUUAUGUAAGUAAAAGAACAGAGUCACAAAAACCAACAUGCAUGAUUCCACUUAUAUAAAAUUGUACAGGCCGGGCGCGGUGGCUCAAGCCUGUAAUCCCAGC